CAUGAAGCCUAACCCUCAAUUUUUUAAAAUCUCAUCUUCGGUUAUCUUUAUCAAUAUAUACGUUCCUAUACAACUCCCCCCUUUCUUUCUUAUUCAAAGAUAUGCAGACAUAAACUUAUCGAAUGGCAGCAUUCUAAUCGGACUAACUCUCGAACUGAGAUUGAUUCUCUUCAAGCUCAACUAGAAGUCUUCCGAGCUGGUGGAAUGCAUGGAGUAGAGGUGAUUUCGGAUUUAAAAAACAGAUUAGAGAGUCUUGCAAGAAGAAAAAUCCUACUGGUAAGGUGUGGAGUACUUGGUUGUUUGCUCUUGAGAGGCUUUGGGCAAUGCCAGGUUCACUAAAGGAGCACUUUCAAAGUUGGACAACUGGUCCAGUGAGGAAGGAUGAGAGGAAGUGAUGCUUCAUUGGUUUCUUUGCUGUUAUUUGGACAAUGUGGCUAGAAAGGAAUGAUAGAAUAUUCAAAAAUCAAGCCUUGAGCGUGGAGCAAAUCAUGAACAGGUCCUUCGAUUUCUCUGAUGAAUGGUUUGGUGGUGAACCUUAUGGAUGUUGAUGGCACUGCCGAAAAUACCUAGGGGUUGUCAUGUACUAGGAGUUGUUGGAAUGUACUAGUUUGUCUUUUAAUGCUCCACCUUGUGUGUUGAGCUCUUUACUUCAAAAAAAAAAUGACUUAAGGCUGGUGAAUAGAAUAUAGACUUCUCUUAUUAGAAAUUUUGAAAUCAUGCACGAAGGAACAAAUCUGGCAAUUAGCUGGUAAUGAUGGUUCAGUUGCCUCUUCUAAUGCAGAUAUUGCAACAAUGGCAAAAUUUUACUUUCAUGAAA